rnacentral:rRNA from 1 species
UGCAGUCGAACGAUGAAGCUGGAGCUUGCCCCGGUGGAUUAGUGGCGAACGGGUGAGUAACACGUGAGCAAUCUGCCCUUGACUCUGGGAUAACUGCGGGAAACUGUAGCUAAUACCGGAUACUUUCCUCGGUGGGCAUCCACUGGGGAAGAAAGAAUUUCGGUCAAGGAUGAGCUCGCGACCUAUCAGCUAGUUGGUGAGGUAAUGGCUCACCAAGGCGACGACGGGUAGCCGGCCUGAGAGGGUGACCGGCCACACUGGGACUGAGACACGGCCCAGACUCCUACGGGAGGCAGCAGUGGGGAAUAUUGCACAAUGGGCGCAAGCCUGAUGCAGCAACGCCGCGUGAGGGACGAAGGCCUUCGGGUUGUAAACCUCUUUUAGCAGGGAAGAAGCGAAAGUGACGGUACCUGCAGAAAAAGCACCGGCUAACUACGUGCCAGCAGCCGCGGUAAUACGUAGGGUGCAAGCGUUGUCCGGAAUUAUUGGGCGUAAAGAGCUCGUAGGCGGUUUGUCACGUCUGCUGUGAAAUUUCGAGGCUCAACCUCGAACUUGCAGUGGGUACGGGCAGGCUAGAGUGCGGUAGGGGAGAUGGGAAUUCCUGGUGUAGCGGUGGAAUGCGCAGAUAUCA